CGCAGGAUUUUAACAAUUAAUUUAGAGAAAUGGAACUCUGAUCGAGAGUGAUUAAAGCAAAGGCGACCUGGGAUCACGCAAAUGGAUACAGUUGAAGAUUUGAGAUAUUGAUACGAACCGCAUUUCCAUUAUGCGAAAUCACAACUGAGACGUGCGUGGCGUGGUUCGAGCAGAUUUUUGACAUCAAGUACAAUUCAUUCGAAAUUCGAAAAAUACACCAAAGCAAUGGACGUGAUUCGAAAUUCAAAUUACCGCACCACAGUUCUGUUCAUAUUUCGAAAUUCAAAGAAAAUUGAGUAUUUGUUUACUGGGAGAAAAUAAAUAAAAAUUAUUUUGUA